UACGUAGGGGGCUAGCGUUGUCCGGAAUUAUUGGGCGUAAAGAGCUCGUAGGCGGUUUGUCGCGUCUGCCGUGAAAGUCCGGGGCUCAACUCCGGAUCUGCGGUGGGUACGGGCAGACUAGAGUGAUGUAGGGGAGACUGGAAUUCCUGGUGUAGCGGUGAAAUGCGCAGAUAUCAGGAGGAACACCUAUUGCGAAGGCAGCUCGCUGGGACGUAACUGACGCUGAGACGCGAAAGCGUGGGGAGCAAACAGG
rnacentral:rRNA from 1 species